ACGGGUGAGUAAUGUCUGGGGAUCUGCCCGAUAGAGGGGGAUAACCACUGGAAACGGUGGCUAAUACCGCAUAACGUCGCAAGACCAAAGAGGGGGACCUUCGGGCCUCUCACUAUCGGAUGAACCCAGAUGGGAUUAGCUAGUAGGCGGGGUAAUGGCCCACCUAGGCGACGAUCCCUAGCUGGUCUGAGAGGAUGACCAGCCACACUGGAACUGAGACACAGUCCAGACUCCUACGGGAGGCAGCAGUGGGGAAUAUUGCACAAUGGGCGCAAGCCUGAUGCAGCCAUGCCGCGUGUAUGAAGAAGGCCUUCGGGUUGUAAAGUACUUUCAGCGGGGAGGAAGGCGAUGCGGUUAAUAACCGCGUCGAUUGACGUUACCCGCAGAAGAAGCACCGGCUAACUCCGUGCCAGCAGCCGCGGUAAUACGGAGGGUGCAAGCGUUAAUCGGAAUUACUGGGCGUAAAGCGCACGCAGGCGGUCUGUUAAGUCAGAUGUGAAAUCCCCGGGCUUAACCUGGGAACUGCAUUUGAAACUGGCAGGCUUGAGUCUUGUAGAGGGGGGUAGAAUUCCAGGUGUAGCG
rnacentral:rRNA from 1 species